rnacentral:rRNA from 1 species
GGGGAAUCUUGCGCAAUGGGCGAAAGCCUGACGCAGCCAUGCCGCGUGGAUGAUGAAGGUCUUAGGAUUGUAAAAUCCUUUCAGCGGGGACGAUAAUGACGGUACCCGCAGAAGAAGCCCCGGCUAGCUUCGUGCCAGCAGCCGCGGUAAUACGAAGGGGGCUAGCGUUGCUCGGAUUUACUGGGCGUAAAGGGCGCGUAGGCGGACAGUUAAGUUGGGGGUGAAAGCCCGGGGCACAACCUCGGAAUUGCCUUCAAUACUGGCUGUCUUGAGUGUGAGAGAGGUGUGUGGAACUCCGAGUGUAGAGGUGAAAUUCGUAGAUAUUCGGAAGAACACCAGUGGCGAAGGCGACACACUGGCUCACUACUGACGCUGAGGCGCGAAAGCGUGGGGAGCAAAC